rnacentral:rRNA from 1 species
UACGAAGGGUGCAAGCGUUGCUCGGAAUUAUUGGGCGUAAAGGGUAGGUAGGUGGUUACGUAUGUCUGAGGUGAAAGCCCCGAGCUUAACUUGGGAAGUGCCUUGGAAACGGCGUAACUAGAGUACUGGAGAGGUUUGUGGAAUUCCCGGUGUAGUGGUGGAAUGCGUAGAUAUCGGGAGGAACAUCAGUGGCGCAAGCGGCGCCCUGGCCUUAGCCUGACGCUCAGGGGCGAAAGCGUGGGGAGCGAACGGG